rnacentral:rRNA from 1 species
UCGCUUGAAGAGGAGCUUGCGGCAGAUUAGCUAGUUGGUAAGGUAAUGGCUUACCAAGGCUACGAUCUGUAACCGGUCUAAGAGGACGGUCGGUCACACUGACACUGAAUAACGGGUCAG